UGGGGAAUAUUGGACAAUGGGCGGAAGCCUGAUCCAGCCAUGCCGCGUGUGUGAAGAAGGCCUUUUGGUUGUAAAGCACUUUAAGCGAGGAGGAGGCUACUUGUCUUAAUACUCUAGGAUAGUGGACGUUACUCGCAGAAUAAGCACCGGCUAACUCUGUGCCAGCAGCCGCGGUAAUACAGAGGGUGCGAGCGUUAAUCGGAUUUACUGGGCGUAAAGCGUGCGUAGGCGGCUUCUUAAGUCGGAUGUGAAAUCCCUGAGCUUAACUUAGGAAUUGCAUUCGAUACUGGGAAGCUAGAGUAUGGGAGAGGAUGGUAGAAUUCCAGGUGUAGCGGUGAAAUGCGUAGAGGUCUGGAGGAAUACGGAUGGCGGAGGCAGCCAUCUGGCCUAAUACUGACGCUGAGGUACGAAAGCAUGGGGAGCAAAAAGG
rnacentral:rRNA from 1 species